CUGAUGGGGAUCAAAGGUCUUUGCAUCAAUCUCUUCAAAUUCGUCAGGGAUAUUGUCAAUGCAUAUUGGGUGAAAUUUUUCAUCUGAUUCACUGACAAAGUAUUCAUCCUUAACUUUCCCAGCUAAAGUUUUAAAUGAGGGAUCCUCCAACAUAUUCUUUGAGCUUCUCAGCCAUUUUGAAGGAAGUUGGGAAGAGUCGCCCGAAUAAGAAGGAACAGGUUUGUUAGCUGUUUCCAGAAAUGCUGCAUAAGCUUCGUCUGACAUUUUGUGAGAAGAACGAACAAGUGUAGGCAAAGCCGUGUGUCGUACAACGAAUCGAGGCAAAUGCCUAUUGAUAAACAAUCUUCUAACUGUGAAUCCUAUUUUGUAUAAUUAUUUAAUAUAUAAUUAAAAAACAAAAAUAUGUUAAAGAAUAAGUGUUAAUCAACUUUAGGUCAACGUCAGCGAAACCAAUCUUCGAGCAAAUAUAACGAAAAACACGUUAUGUAAAUUACCGUAACUCAAAGAAUCCAAUAU